rnacentral:rRNA from 1 species
UGGGGAAUAUUGCACAAUGGGCGCAAGCCUGAUGCAGCAACGCCGCGUGAGGGACGACGGCCUUCGGGUUGUAAACCUCUUUUAGUAGGGAAGAAGCGAAAGUGACGGUACCUGCAGAAAAAGCACCGGCUAACUACGUGCCAGCAGCCGCGGUAAUACGUAGGGUGCGAGCGUUUGUCCGGAAUUAUUGGGGCGUAAAGAGCUCGUAGGCGGUCUGUCGCGUCUGCUGUGAAAACCCGAGGCUCAACCUCGGGGCCCUGCAGUGGGGUACGGGCAGACGUAGAUGCGGUAGGGGAGAAUGGAAUUCCUGGUGUAGCGGUGGAAUGCGCAGAUAUCAGGAGGAACACCGAUGG